GCGGCGGCACUGAGGCGAGGGGUCCCGUCACCGCUGGCAGCCGGUGGGCCUGGCUCGGCGGUUGUCCCGGUGAUGCUACUGAGAGGAGAGGGAUGGGAAGCCGUGGCGCAUUCCUCUACCCCGCCGCAUUACGGGCGCAUCGAUAUAAAUGUAUAAUCGUUUAUAACGGGCCCGCACGGGGGGCAUCGGCGAACGUAGCGGGCUGCGGUCAUGCCAAUGAAUGGGGCCUCUGAAACCGCGGACGGCUCAGAGCCGGGGGGGGACGGGAACCCGUCACAGGCCCGGAACAUCGCCCGGAGGGUGCCCGGCCCCCGUCUUGCCCUUCCCGCCCCCCCAGGCUGCGGCACCUCCGCCGGGGCCCGUCAGAUUCCCGCGCUGCCAGUGACGUCGUGGCUCUGCCUCUGGCGACGAGCGACUUCCGAAAAAUCCACAUUUGGAGAGCCAGCAGAUCUGCAGAUAGCAAAAGACCUCUGAAGCUCCUUUUGCCCUGCUCUUGAGGUUUACCAUUACCCUCGUCUCUUCCACAGUAUCCCAGCGCAGGAAUAAAAGGUACUAUACGCUGAAA